UAAACUACGAUUAGAUACCCUAUUAUUUUAAAUGUAAAGAGUUAAUACUUGAGUAGUAAGAGAUAUGGUCUUGAAACUCAAAGAAUUUGGCGGUGUUUUAGUCUUUCCAGAGGAACCUGUCCCGUCAUCGAUAUUCCACGUUAUACCUUACUUAGUCUUUAUGAAUAUGUAUAUCGCCGUCGUCAGAGCAUCCUAGAAGGGUUUAUGAAUUCUCUUUAGGUUAUAUUAUAACAAGAGGUCAGGUCAAGGUGCAGUUUAUGAUUAAGUGGAGAUGGGUUACAAUAAAUUUAUUUAUACGGAUGGUUGUUUGAAAUUAGUGACUUGAAGGUGGAUUUGGGAGUAAUUUUAUGUUAUUAAAUUAUUUUGAUUUUGGCUCUAAAAUGUGUACACAUCGCCCGUCGCUCUUA
rnacentral:rRNA from 1 species